rnacentral:rRNA from 1 species
GUACCCGCUGAACUUAAGCAUAUCAAUAAGCGGAGGAAAAGAAACUAACAAGGAUUCCCCUAGUAACGGCGAGUGAAGCGGGAAUAGCUCAAUUUUGAAAUCUUUCAGUUUCACUGAACGAAUUGUAGUUUAUAGAACCAUUUUCGAGGAUGAUUGAGGUAUAAGUCCUUUCGAAUAAGGCAUCAUAGAAGGUGAUAAUCCUGUUCAUGAUCUCAAAUUCAUCCUUAUGUGAUAUGGUUUCAAAGAGUCGGGUUGUUUGGGAAUGCAGCCCUAAAUGGGUGGUAAAUACCAUCUAAAGCUAAAUAUUGGCAGGAGACCGAUAGCGCACAAGUACCGUGAGGGAAAGAUGAAAAGAACUUUGAAAAGAGAGUGAAAAGUACGUGAAAUUGUCAAUAGUGAACGGUUUGGAACUAUUGUUUGUAAUGAUUAAUUCAGGAUUCGAAUUUUUUUUUUCGAUUCUGCACUUUAAUUAUUACAGGUCAACAUCAGUUUUGUUUGAAGUAAAAAGCUAUUGUAAUUUAUUUUCGGAUUUAUUACUUUAGUGCUGCUUUGGACGGGACUGAGGACUGCAGAAUAGUCUAAGGUUGGUAGUCAAUUCCUUUGAGAUUAUAUUGGUGAACAACUUGUUGAUUGCCUCUAUGACGCUUAAAGUGUUGGCUAUUUUCACUACUUUAUUCUUUGGAUGUUGACAAAAUGGUUUUAAGCCACCCGUCUUGAAACACGGACCAAAGAGUCUAACAUAUAUGCAAGUGUUUGGGUGUCAAACCCAUACGCGGAAUGAAAGUGAAUAGGAUGGGAUCUUUAUUGAGCACCAUCGACCGGUCUUGAAUAUUUUAGGAUAGAUCUGAGUUAGAGCAUACAUGUUAGGACCCGAAAGAUGGUGAACUAAGCCUGAAUAGGGUGAAGCCAGAGGAAACUCUGGUGGAAGCUCGUAGCGGUUCUGACGUGCAAAUCGAUCGUCAAAUUUGGGUUUAGGGGCGAAAGACUAAUCGAACCAUCUAGUAGCUGGUUCCCUCCGAAGUUUCCCUCAGGAU